rnacentral:rRNA from 1 species
GAUGAACGCUGGCGGCGUGCCUAAUACAUGCAAGUCGAGCGAACAGACGAGGAGCUUGCUCCUCUGACGUUAGCGGCGGACGGGUGAGUAACACGUGGAUAACCUACCUAUAAGACUGGGAUAACUUCGGGAAACCGGAGCUAAUACCGGAUAAUAUAUUGAACCGCAAGGUUCAAUAGUGAAAGACGGUUUUGCUGUCACUUAUAGAUGGAUCCGCGCCGCAUUAGCUAGUUGGUAAGGUAACGGCUUACCAAGGCGACGAUGCGUAGCCGACCUGAGAGGGUGAUCGGCCACACUGGAACUGAGACACGGUCCAGACUCCUACGGGAGGCAGCAGUAGGGAAUCUUCCGCAAUGGGCGAAAGCUUGACGGAGCAACGCCGCGUGAGUGAUGAAGGUCUUCGGAUCGUAAAACUCUGUUAUUAGGGAAGAUCAAAUGUGUAAGUAACUAUGCACGUCUUGACGGUACCUAAUCAGAAAGCCACGGCUAACUACGUG